UGCUUGGGUAGCUCAGUUGGUAGAGCACUUGCCCGCGGAAGGCAAAGGUCCCGAGUUCGAGCCUCGGUCCGGCAC
rnacentral:tRNA from 1 species